rnacentral:lncRNA from 1 species
UCUUUUUCUUUUUUUUUCUUUUUUUAAGAUGGAGUUUCACUCUUUGUUGUCCAGGCUGGAGUGCAAUGGCACAAUCUUGACUCACCACAACCUCCGCCUCCCGGGUUUAAGCGAUUCUCCUGCCUCAGCCUCCCAAGAAGCUGGGAUUACAGGUGCACGCCACCACGCCCAGCUAAUUUUGUAUUUUUAGCACAGACGGGGUUUCUCCAUGUUGGUCAGGCUGGUCUCAAACUCCUGACCUCAGGUGAUCCGCCCACCUUGGGCUCCCAAAAUGCUGGGAUUACAGGCAUGAGCCACCGCACCCGGCUGGGGUUUCUUUGUAUCUUUUAUUUAUUGAACCUUUGUUUUUUGAGUGUUCAUAGUUUCUUGUUAAAAGUGUUUUUGUUUGUUUUUUAAUGAUAGCUGCUUUAAAAAUCCUUGCCAGACAAUCCCAACAUCAGUACCAUCUUGGUAUUGGCAUCUGUUGAUUGCCUGUUCUCAUUCUGGUUGACUUUUUCUGUUUUCUGACAUGACAAGUAAUAUUCAAUAUUAUCAGUACUUUGGGUAUUAUGAAACUCUGAUUCCUUUUUAUAUUUUCUACUUUAGCAUGCAUUCAACCUGCUUCAAUUCAGAAUGCACAUCAUGACUCACUUCUGUGGUCUGUGAGUUUGAAUGUCAGUUUGGUUUCAAAUUCAGCGUUAUCUUGGUCUGCUCUGCCUGUGUGCUACCCAGAGACCAGUGGAUACCCAGAAACCCGAGUGGUAUUCCACAGCAUAGCUCAGUUCUUAAAGCUUUUGCUGUGUUAAUUCUGAUGAGUUUCACACAUAGGCCACUUGGGGAUGUGCACAAAUUGAAAGACGCUUUUUCCGCAGCUCCCUCCUCUCUGUUAUUCUGCCCACACUCUCUGUGAGGGGGUAGGUGCUGCCUCUGUUACUGCAGGACAGGUGGUAGUCAACAGGGCUCUACCCUAGAGUGUCCAUAGCAUCCCAUGGGAAGAAGGAGGAGGGAGGGGGUGUCACCUCUUAUCCCAUUAGUGCAGGAUGGGGCUCAUUAAUAGAGCUCCACUUGUCUCCAGAAUCACUGGUGAGGAAGGGGAGUGUUGCCCCCACAUUCGUGCACAGCAGGGAUGGUUCACCGAACUCCACACCAGUCUCUGCAGAGCCUGUUGGGGAGAGGAGGGCUGUGGUUUCUUUGAUGGUGUUCACCUGGAGUAGAGCAAGUAUUGUCAAAAGGGUCAUCCUCGGAGGUUGCAGUGAGCCGAGAUCGCACCAUUGCACUGCAGCCUGGGAGACAGAGCAAGACUCCAUCUCAAAAAAAAAAAAAAAAAAAAAGGCCAUCCUUCAUUACUGUCCUCUUCUAGGUCCUUUGACUAGAGAAAGCAUUUUCCUUAGGACUUUUGUUGUCUGUGCUUGUUGGUCAUUUCAGAUUGUGCCUUCCUCUAGUGCCCAGGUUGAAAUACGUGAACACUACGAAAGCCUCUGGGAACUCCCUGCCAGGUCAUCCCUUGAGACUUAAGUUUCCUUGCCAGUCUGCCUAGUUUACUUCACCUUUAGAGGUUUCUGAUAGUUGCUUUAUGUAUUUUGUCUAGUUUUUAGUUGUAAUUAGCAGAAGGAAUAGGGUGGAGUCCACUUACUUUAUCUUGUGUGAACAUGGAAGCCCCAUGUAUUUUUUAAAUAAACUUUUUGAGGUGUAAUUUACAUGAAAUAAAAUGUACCCAUUUAAAGUAUACAUUUCCAUGAGAUUGACAAAUGUGUAUAUCCAUGUAACCCUAACCACAAUCAAGAUAUAGAACACUCCCAUUACCCCAAAAGGUUCCCUUUGUCUUCCUUCCUAGUCAGUUUCCUCCAUCCUGAGCCUCAGACCUGGCCUGAUUUCUGCCAGUGUAAGUUGAACUUGUCUUUUCUAGAGUUCCAUAUGAAGAAAAUCACAUAGAACGUAAUGUUUGUAAAAGUCUGGGCCGGGCACGGUGGCUCACGCCUGUAAUCCCAGCACUUUUGGAGGCCAAGGUGGGUGGAUCACAAGGUCAGGAGAUCGAGACCAUCCUGGCCAACAUGGUGAAACUCCAUCUCUACUAAAAAUACAAAAAUUAGCUGGGCAUGGUGGCACAUGCCUGUAAUCCCAGCUACUCAGGAGGCUGAGGCAGGAGAAUCGCUUGAACCAGGGAGUCGGAGGUUGCAAUGAGCCGAGAUCGCGCCACAGCGCUCCAGCCUGGUGACAGAGUGAGCUUCCGUCUCAAAAAAAAAAAAAAGUCUGGUUCCUUUUACUUAUUAUAAUAUCUGUGAGAUUCAUCCAUAUUGUUGGCAUUUCAGUAGUUCAUUCCUUUUUAUGUUUGUUUUUGCUUUCAUUUGAAUUGUCACUAUCCUAUGCUCUUGCCUGACAGACCCUGAGAGCCUACUGACCACAGCAGCUCCUGUUACCACGGCUGCCGUUUCUGCUCUCAAUGCUACUGCUCAUUGAUCCCAGGGAGGAAAAUUCUGGUGCAUCACUUAGUAUUUAUUUCAGGUAUGGUUAGGACAUUUCAGAAUAAAGGAUGGCUUCUUCUGGAUGUAUCUGAAUUGAUCUGCUGUCAUAUACUUAUGAAUCACAUGCUCAGACCAAAGUACAUAAAAAAGUCAUUCUCUUUCCAGACAAUUUUAGGGGUUUGUAACCUUGGUCUUAUAUUGCUCCAUGGCCUAUGAAUUAGUAACAGGACUAGUGAAAUUCCUAGUAACAUAGUCCUGUUACUACAAGAUUACCCAUAUCCUUUGAUGAUCCAUCUACUGCAAACUCAUAGAAUUUACUGGACAGUCUUCUUCAUUUUAUGUAAGAAUGACCACUGUAUCAUCAUAUGUCAAUGUCCUGCAUAACUGUCACCACCCCUCCAUGCCGAAUACCUGGUAGCUUGUGAUGAGUUGAGAACCUCACUAAACAGUCUUAUCCACAUCCUCAGGUUCUCUGAGGUUUUCCUUCUGUCCAGUCCAUGCACUUGUACCCCUGGUGGUCGAAGUACAGUCACGCACUGCGUAUGAUGUUCUCAUCAGUGGUGGGCUGCAUACACAGCAGUGGUCCCAUAAAACCAUAAUGAAGCUCAAAAAUUCCUAUUGCCAACUGGCAUAACGUCAUGUAGUGACACAUGACCUUUUCUAUGUUUAGAUCUGUUCAGAUACACAAAUCCUUACCACUGUAUUCCAAUUGCCUGUAGUAUUCAACAGUCACUGUACAAACCUGCUGUAUAGUUUUGUAGCCUAGGAGCUACAGGUUGUACCGUAUAGCCUAGGUGUGUGGUAGGUAGGCUAUACUAUACAGAUUUGUGUAAGUAUACUCUAUGAUGUUCACACAAUGGUGAAAUCUCCUAAUGACACAUUUCUCAGAAUGUCUCCCCAUCACUUUGGCCAGCUGACUCAGUUUGUGAUGGCAAUUGUGAGACCAGUUGAAGGGCGAUCUGACCUGUAUAUUCUCUUGGUUAAUUGUAUUUACAAAUUGGAUACAUGAUUUCUCUGAUUGCUCUCUUCACAAACUACAUUUGAAUAUACAAAUGAAGUGCUAAGUGGUUUUUAUACAGGGAAACAAAGCCAGUUUUGUUUUCUACCAAUGCAAGUUUGGAUAAAUUCUUUUCAAGAAGAUGACUAAAUAUUUCCCAUUUAGCAAAGUCCUCAGAUAAAGAGAUGCCAGGUAUUUCUCGUUAUGUUGGUUUCUGUAUUACUAUCUGUUCAGACACAAGCGUCCUUAAAAAUGUGCUUAGUUGUAAUUUCUUCAUAGAUUUCAACCAAAACAACAUAUUGCAAGAUUGAAUGCAGAAGUAGAUGUGAGAACUCAUUCUAUUAAGCCAAGCGUAAAUGUUUAAAAAUGUAAAAUAAUACCACUCUUCUGAUAUGUUUUGGGAGAAAAUAUGUUUGUGGAAAAUAUACCUAUCAAAGAAAUAUCAGAAACCUUCCAAACUGAAGGACAUGUGUAUCCAGAUUAAAAUGACCUUCCAAAUGCUUAACAUAGUAAACAAAAAACAGGAGGAAAAGGAGGGGAGAAAAGAAAAAAAGAAGACUCACACAAGGCCGUGUUACGACAUUUCAUCAUACCAUAGAUAAAUCAGAUCCUGAAAGAUUUCAGAAAGGAAUAUGAGAUCACACAUAAAGGAACAGGAAUCAAAAUGACAUUACCCUUCUCAACAACACUGGAAGCUCCAAGAGAGUGCAGCAAUGCUUUCAUCCUCAGAGAAAAUAAUUAUCAAUACAAAAUAAUAUUCCCAGCUAAGCUAUCAAUCAUGAGGGUAGAAGAAAGGCAUUUUUAGCCAUUGCGUGGGAGUGCUAUAAUAAUGGUCCCAGUGAACCACACCUCCCUGUAUCCGCACCACUUUGCAAUGAGAAAUUUGCUGUUUCUCCUAGUGAGAGAGGGAGUCUAUUUCUUUACCCUUGGGCCUGGGCUGGCCUGGUGACUUGUUUUGACCAAUACAUGGAAGAAGUGACAUUAUGUGAGUUCUGCAGCUGAAGCUUUAAGAGGCCUUGAAGUUUCUCCUCACCUUCUUGGAACCUUGAGACCACCAUGCUGUGAGAAGCCUGGGCAUAUCUACUGGAGGCCGAGGGGCCACAUGACACGUCUAAAACUCAUACGUCAAGAUAUGCUUGAAAGCUGCACCCAUCAAGUGCGUCCUGAAUCUGACGAUUCACUAUCUUCACUUCCGCCAGUCUGCUCCAGGCCUCCAUCCUUUCUGGCCUAAAUGAACCCCAAAGCUGGCUUGUGUCCUGCAUCCAUCCACCACUCUUGCCCUUGUUUCACUUAUCUAUUGCUGUGAAAUAAACUUCAAAACCAAGUGAUUCAGUCUCACAACUCUGGUUUUCCUGGGCUGAGUGGGGUGGUUCCUCUAUUCAUGUGAUGUGGCUGGAGCUGUGGGCAUUUGUGGGCUUGAAUGGGCUGAGUGUUCACCGUGGUUCAUUCACAUGGUGGCAGCUGGCUAGGUUCUCAGCUAGGACGAUGGCCUCUCCAUGUAGCUUGGGCUCAGAGCUAGUGUUCUGAGAAGGAAGUAGAAGCUGGCAGUCCUAUUGAGGCCUGGGCUUGAAGUCCCAGAACAUCCUUUCCCACUGCCUUGUAAUGAUCAAAGUAGUCACAAGGCCAGCCUAGAUUCAAGGGCUUGGAGGAAUACUACCUUUCAGUCAAUUUCCCAGUUUCCAGAGGAUUUUAAAAAAACAAACGGCUCGACACAGUGGCAUGUGCUACUCGGGAGGCUAAGGUGGGAGGAUCGCUUGAGCCUGGGAGGUUGAGGUUGCCGUGAGCUGUGAUUACACCACUGCACUCCAACCUGGGUGACAGAUCAGACCUUGUCUCAAAACACUCUCCCCAAAACAAAUAGACAUAAUUCUCCUGCUGGAAUCCACUGCUCACUAGACUUACAUUGUAAUAGCCUGCCUCACCUGGCCCCUGCCUAACUCUGUCCCUCACACCUUUGCUCUGUCUCUAAAGGUCAUACUGCUGUUUCCCCAGCACCCCAAACUCACCACCCUUCAGGGACUUAGCCUAGAACAAUUUUCCUCCAGGACUUCACUUGGCCACUUCACUCCAUUGCUUCCAGACGGCUGGCAUUAUUUGCCCAUCUGUUUUGGGUCUCCUUCACUGGCAUGAAUGUAAGGUCCUUGCCAGCAGCACUUUUCUGUCCUAUCCUACAUUCACUCUUAGCAUCUAGAAUGGUGUUAUCACAGGAAAGGCAUAAAAGUAUACUCUGUGGUUAACUGAAUUUACUUGCCUAAAUCUUGGGCAUGUGAUGCUUUGAGAAAUAUACAAAUUAAUGUUAAACAGAACCACAGUGGUCAGUAACAGGCACAUCCAAGGAUACACUAGUCCUGCAUACAUACCCACUGGCAUGUUUCUACCUUCCUAAUAAGAGCUGACAGCCGUUUUGCUGCAUGCUGUACAGGACAGCUGCUGCUGCAAACUCAGCCUCUGAUGGGCCCAUAGUCGAUGUGCCCACUGCAUGCCUUGAACUCAGGGAAUUCAGACGAAAUCAUCACACACUCCAGCCAGAAGCUAGAGGGCUGCCGGCCUUGACAUUUUAAUGCAUUUUUGGUGUCAGCUGCCCUUCACUGAUUCACUCAAUUCUAGAGGUCUGAAUGAGAAUCCCUACACGCUUCUCAGGGGUUCUGAAGAAGCCAGUGUAGCCCAAGGUCAUCAACCCAAGUGAACCCACAUUUAUCCAGGAAGCAAGAGGUGUGGCAAGGGCAGAAUUCUAACAGACAUCCAUUCCACAUGUGUCAGAGACAAAACUAAGUCCAAGAUAAAAUCGACAAAGGCUAUUUAUUCAUAAACGUGCAGCAGGGGAACCCUUCUGCUGAAACCUUUGUUUUGGUAAGUGUUCAGAGGUGUUAAGACGUUAUAGAGUAAAAAGGAGAAAUACUGACAGUGUUGACUUGGCAAAUGUCAUAUAAGGGUAGGAUUUGUGGAAGCAAGCCAAGAGACAAAGUGGUCUUCAAGUACAUUUGACUUGAUUAGCUUCAAGGAGGCAGGUGAGCAGUCUGGGACCAUUUCAAAAGAGGAAAGGGGCGGAGAGUUUUCUGUGGCCAGCCAUUUCCUGGAAAAAGUGAUGGUUGAUGGGAUGCUUUUUUGCAGUCUAUCAUCAUGGUUCUUAGGGGUGUAAAAAGUAAAGUGAGGUUCCUCUUCAAAGACUUUCCUCCCUGUCUAAUUAAGAAUAAAUAGUAACUUCUCUUAGGAGCAAAACUUAUUCAAAGACCUGUGCUAACAUUCUUAAAUAUCUGCUAGCCGUAAUAAAGAAAUCAAUGUACUUUAUGUUCUUAGCUCCCACAAUUUAGCCUAUUUGCCCUGGCAAUGCUUAUACUGGUCCAAGCAAGCAUUAGGUCAUAGCCUGUUCCUCUUCCUUAUCUGAAGGUGUUUUUACGUUUCUCAGCAUUCCACAAGUUACUUCCUCCUUCAUUCUCCUCUGCCUUUGCCUCUUUUAAAAAGUUCUAAGUUGCUAGCCAAUCAGGACAAAUACAGAAUGUGAGGUCCCGUUCCAGCCAAUGGAAACUGGACACAGCAGUAAAGUGGACUUGUCAAGUUAUAAAUGACCCUGUCUCCUUUGUUCGGUGUUCUCUCGUGGCAAAACUGCUGGCGAGUGUACCCUUUCUGCAGAAAGUAUAAAAAUGACCUUGCUGAAGAAAUUAAUGUUCAAGUGCUAUUUCUUUGCGGCACUGAAGAACAAGCAUUUCAAACAGAGGGUAGGGUGGGGUGGUGGUGGUGGUGUUAUGUGGUUGCCACAGCUAAGUUAAGUUUUUCACAUGGAUCAUUAACUUUCAAAUAAUUAAAAUUUUAGAGAUGCAAGGUAUCUUAAAGUUCAUCUGGUCACUCUGACCACCCACAUUCCCACUCUCAUCCCAAGUUCAUUUAAUGGAUGGAAAAACUCAAACAAAAGGUAGUUUGGCAUCUAACCCUUAGCAAAGGUUAGAUGUGGAAUUAGAAGUUUUCCUGAAUCCUAGGACUGUAGUAUAACCAUCAUGCAUUUCAAAAGUAAAACAAAAAAGGAAAUUUAAAAAAAGAAAAUACAGUAAGUAGCCACAUAAACCGCUUCUAGCUGGGUCCACUGGUCCCCCUGCUUCUUGUUUAUUAACGGAAUCUGUUCAGGGGCUCUAGGGCUCAGAGCUUUAGGGGAGUCUGAGCCCUUCUCCAGCCCUGGGGUGAUGGGUCUUGAUUGAUCCAGGUCAAAUUCUCCACAGAUUUAAUUCUGGCCAAUGAAUAUGAGAAGAAAUGAGAAGGUGGAAAGGUGUCUUAGUCUACUUUUUGCUGCUAUAAUAAAAAUACCAAUACAUGGGGUAAAUUAUAAUGAAGAGAAAUUUAUCUCAUGGAGUUCUGGAGGCUGGGGAGUCCCAAAAUCAAGGUGUUGGCAUCUGGUGAGGAGCUUCUUGCUGUCCACCCCAUGGUGGAGGGUGGAAGGGCAGAAAGAGAGAGAGGGCUGGAGGCCAAUAGGUGGCUGAACUCAUUUUUUUAUGAGGAACCCACUCCCAUAAUAACAGCAUUAAUCCACUCAUGAGAGCAGAGCCCCCAUGACCCAACCAUUUCCCAUUAGGUCCUACCUCCCCACACCCACUGCACUGGGGAUCAAGUUUCCAACACAUGGAACUUUGGGAGACACAUUCACGACAUAGCAGAGGACCACUGGAGAAAGGAAGGUUUUUAAAGAUUUUUUUUAGGACACUAUGGAAGUGAUAGCCAUUGGACAUGGAUGGUGUUUUUGUUUUUGGCAUGGGAAAAGGCUUAUACAACUCUGGUCAACUUGGCAACACUAAUCAAAAGUCAAAAUCUCCUUUGACCCUAGGGAUCCCCUACUAUUAACAGUAUUAUAUCUUAUAGAACCUAGGUAUUUAGGAAAGAAAAAAAUGUUCAAAGAUGUAUUGACAUUUAAUAAAAGCAAAUAACUGGACAUAACCCAGCUAUCCAAAUACAGGCUAUCAGGAAACACUGUGAAGGACUUUGAAAUAGGUCUUGCCCACUGCCCCCACCCCUGCCUCCAAUUACUGAGUGUUCUGUCUAAUCUAGCCCACCUUUCUGAGUUGAUUCCCUUUCAUUUCACUGCCUUUGAGCUACUUUACAAUUACGUAAAUUAAGGGAAACUGAUAAUGCAGAUGAUUCUUGUUCAUAGAAAUGCAAAUUGUGACCAAUGGAAUAUAACUGAUUAUUGUUCUGCAGGUAUCAGCCAAUUUUGCCAGUUUUGUAACUACGAAGCAAACUCAUUUCAGCAUUCCUGCUAGGCUUAUAAUUAUUUGUUCUUUGGAUUCUCCUUUGAGCCAAUUAAAGUGUCCUACUGGUUCUCUCAAUAAUUAACAAGUUAAAUACAAUCAUCUUUAACAUGU